rnacentral:rRNA from 1 species
GACGAACGCUGGCGGCGUGCUUAACACAUGCAAGUCGAACGGAAAGGCCCUGCUUGCAGGGUACUCGAGUGGCGAACGGGUGAGUAACACGUGGGUGAUCUGCCCUGCACUUCGGGAUAAGCCUGGGAAACUGGGUCUAAUACCGGAUAGGAGCCAUUUUUAGUGUGAUGGUUGGAAAGUUUUUUCGGUGUAGGAUGAGCUCGCGGCCUAUCAGCUUGUUGGUGGGGUAAUGGCCUACCAAGGCGGCGACGGGUAGCCGGCCUGAGAGGGUGGACGGCCACAUUGGGACUGAGAUACGGCCCAGACUCCUACGGGAGGCAGCAGUGGGGAAUAGUGCACAAUGGGCGCAAGCCUGAUGCAGCGACGCCGCGUGGGGGAUGACGGCCUUCGGGUUGUAAACUCCUUACGCUAGUGACGAAGCUUUUGUGACGGUACCUAGAUAAGAAGCACCGGCUAACUACGUG